rnacentral:tRNA from 1 species
CCUGGUGGCUCAGACAGUAAAGCAUCUGCCUACAAUGCAGGAAACCCAGGUUCGAUUCCUGGGUCAGGA